AAAAGCCAAUUUUAGUUCGUAACUUAGCAAAAUUAGCUAUAUCAUGAUCAACUCCGAAUAUUCCCAAAUGUUUACAUAAUCUUACAUAUAUUAACGCGAACUUCCAGUUUAAAUUUCGUGGUCAUCAGAAUUAUAGAACUCUAGUUAUAGCCGUUUCCGUAGGAAAAAUCCUAAAAUUGAAAUGGUCAUACCUCACUUGAUUUAAGUUGGAAUAAGCUCAACUUUGGACAUGAGCUUCUUUAUAUCAUAUAUUUUCAUUUCCCAAAAGGCCUGAAUUUAUUUCAAAAUUUAAAUUGCCGAAAAUGCCCCUGGAAGUAUUUAGACAGAUUGCAUUUUGGUAUUUCCAGAUUUUGCCUACUUUACUAAAAACUGUCCAUACGGAAAUCUACAAGGAAUUUUUCAGUGAUUCCACUUGGAGAUAUUAGAUAUCACAUGGAUCUAACACAUUUUUUUUUGACGGAUCUCAAAAAUAAGUUGUAGAUUUCAAAUGGUGAAGGUCCAAAGUGGACUAAAAUUUAGGGCUUUCGAGUAUAAAAACUAUUUCGGUUCUUCUUCUUUGUUCAAGCUCAUCAACCCUAAAAAUGGCAAGAUAUAAGCAUUAAACAUCAAAUAUUAUGUAGAUAUACCCUCAUAUGGUUCAAGAUCAUAAGUUCAAAAUUGGAUCUAAAACAACCAUAACAAAACACAUUAAACUAACUAGAGUUUUGAGUUUAGGAGAUUUUAUACCUUUAGUGUUCAAUCUUCCUCUUGAUUUCUUCUUCCUCUCUUCUCUUCUUCCUCUCUCAAGCUCUCAAGCUCUCAAGCUUUCAAUAAGGUUUUUGGGUGAGAGUUAUGGAGAAAUCUAUGGUUUUUUCUUUCC
rnacentral:lncRNA from 1 species